AGUGAACGCUGGCGGUAGGCCUAACACAUGCAAGUCGAACGGCAGCACAGUAAGAGCUUGCUCUUACGGGUGGCGAGUGGCGGACGGGUGAGGAAUACAUCGGAAUCUACUUUUUCGUGGGGGAUAACGUAGGGAAACUUACGCUAAUACCGCAUACGACCUACGGGUGAAAGCAGGGGAUCUUCGGACCUUGCGCGAUUGAAUGAGCCGAUGUCGGAUUAGCUAGUUGGCGGGGUAAAGGCCCACCAAGGCGACGAUCCAUAGCUGGUCUGAGAGCAUGAUCAGCUACACUGGAACUGAGACACGGUCCAGACUCCUACGGGAGGCAGCAGUGGGGAAUAUUGGACAAUGGUCGCAAGCCUGAUCCAGCCAUACCGCGUGGGUGAAGAAGGCCUUCGGGUUGUAAAGCCCUUUUGUUGGGAAAGAAAAGCAGCAUGUUAAUACCCCGCUGUUCUGACGGUACCCAAUGAAUAAGCACCGGCUAACUUCGUG
rnacentral:rRNA from 1 species